GAUGAACGCUGGCGGCGUGCCUAAUACAUGCAAGUCGAGCGAACGGACGAGAAGCUUGCUUCUCUGAUGUUAGCGGCGGACGGGUGAGUAACACGUGGAUAACCUACCUAUAAGACUGGGAUAACUUCGGGAAACCGGAGCUAAUACCGGAUGAUAUUUUGAACCGCAUGGUUCAAAAGUGAAAGACGGUCUUGCUGUCACUUAUAGAUGGAUCCGCGCUGCAUUAGCUAGUUGGUAAGGUAACGGCUUACCAAGGCAACGAUGCAUAGCCGACCUGAGAGGGUGAUCGGCCACACUGGAACUGAGACACGGUCCAGACUCCUACGGGAGGCAGCAGUAGGGAAUCUUCCGCAAUGGGCGAAAGCCUGACGGAGCAACGCCGCGUGAGUGAUGAAGGUCUUCGGAUCGUAAAACUCUGUUAUUAGGGAAGAACAUAUGUGUAAGUAACUGUGCACAUCUUGACGGUACCUAUUCAGAAAGCCACGGCUAACUACGUG
rnacentral:rRNA from 1 species